UACGUAGGGGGCAAGCGUUGUCCGGAUUUAUUGGGCGUAAAGAGCGUGUAGGCGGCCCGGUAAGUCCGCUGUGAAAGUCGGGGGCUCAACCCUCGGAUGCCGGUGGAUACUGUCGGGCUCGAGUACGGAAGAGGCGAGUGGAAUUCCUGGUGUAGCGGUGAAAUGCGCAGAUAUCAGGAGGAACACCUAUUGCGAAGGCAGCUCGCUGGGACGUUACUGACGCUGAGACGCGAAAGCGUGGGGAGCAAACAGG
rnacentral:rRNA from 1 species